GUACUGACUGCGGCGGUACAUUUAGUAAAAUUGAAACGAUAUUGAGGUAGUUAGCAUGGUCCUGCGUAAGGAUGACACACGAAAUAGUGAAGUGUUCCAGGUCGGC